AUGAUGGCCGGAGACAUGCUGAAAGUCAAGAGAAGCAGCAGAGCGAGCUCAAGUCCAAGGCAGGAAACACGCAAGCUGGGCCAGAGGGCCAGAGACUCGCAUCGGAACGAAGCGUUAAAAGAUCUGAUCAAAGGAGGGCUCAGCGAGGAAUCCGCUUCGAAGCUGGCUUUGAGCAUCGUCCCGCUCGUAUCGUAUCACGGUACAGGGAUCCAUUCUCGAUGCACGGGCAUAGUUGUCGAAAGCGAUCAAUACGCUACAUCUUUCCUCACAUCUAUAGAUCUGGUUACUAGAGACUCAGUUUUUCUCCCUGGAUGCCAGAUCAAAGUGCGUCUACCAAACAGGAGAGCGGCGAAGGCACAUCUGCAAUAUUACAGCGCGACUCCCGCUAUGCUUGUUGUGACCAUUGGGCCCUACCCUCAUCUUUGUGCAGCACGUAUCCGUGACAGAACUCAAGUCGAUGAGUCUUCCGGUGACCUGUUUGCUAUUAGUUGUCGGUACAAGACAGGCAAAUUAUCGGUCAUCCGUGGGAUGCUGGCUGACAGUCCAAGUGGACUCGAGGGCGAACGGUCCACGUGCCAAAUCACUGCGGUUGGAAGAGGUGGGCCUCUUGUUGGAGUUGAUGGGAGUAUUGUUGGGAUGAACCUCUGUACGGAAGAAGGGAUAACCCCAUUCGUACCAAUCAAUCAAAUUUAUAAAUGUCUGUGCAAAGUUGGGAUACGGGACUGUUUGGAGCCCGCACCAUCGAGCUUCAGUUCAGAAGGUACCUCCAACGCAGAUUCCAUUAUAGGUAGCUCGUGUCGAAACGGCUCAAGUGAGGCAAAGUGA
rnacentral:rRNA from 1 species